rnacentral:rRNA from 1 species
AGCGAACGCUGGCGGCAGGCUUAACACAUGCAAGUCGAGCGGGCAUAGCAAUAUGACAGCGGCAGACGGGUGAGUAACGCGUGGGAACGUACCUUUUGGUUCGGAACAACACAGGGAAACUUGUGCUAAUACCGGAUAAGCCCUUACGGGGAAAGAUUUAUCGCCGAAAGAUCGGCCCGCGUCUGAUUAGCUAGUUGGUGAGGUAAUGGCUCACCAAGGCGACGAUCAGUAGCUGGUCUGAGAGGAUGAUCAGCCACAUUGGGACUGAGACACGGCCCAAACUCCUACGGGAGGCAGCAGUGGGGAAUAUUGGACAAUGGGCGCAAGCCUGAUCCAGCCAUGCCGCGUGAGUGAUGAAGGCCCUAGGGUUGUAAAGCUCUUUUGUGCGGGAAGAUAAUGACGGUACCGCAAGAAUAAGCCCCGGCUAACUUCGUG